GUCACACCGACCUAUCAGCUGAUCUCACAGCUGAUUUCACUCCAGCUGAGACGCCGGCUUUUCGCAAGCUAGGAGGAAUAGCUGUCGGUCAACGUGCUUUCCUUUGUCCAUCCAAACGUGCAUUCUGGUCUACUCUUUGCACUCCGAUCUGUUGCCAAAUUCAACUUGGCGUGACACGCUCUCCGCCUCGUACAAGAGUAUCUACCGGUGCCAUCAGCUGUUUGUUGGCUACCCUGUUCAUCUACCAAAGCUCCGAGAGCUCUCUCCUUCUGGCUCAGCGUGGGUUUGAGUUUCCUCUGACUCGUCGGCCUUUAUUGUCUCCCUCCUCUCCUCCUCUGCUGUGGUGGAACGUGAGUAUACCGCUUCAACUUUUCAUCACGUUGUAAAAUUGGUACAAUAGCCCAGUUACAUCGCAUUAUCCUCUGUAUUUGUAGGCGCCUGGGUGUAGCUGCAGACUCCCGGUUCGCUCUGAAUUGCUGCUGUUUUGUCCCCCCUCGAUACGUGCUUCGGACUGACGCGUCGCAGUGUCCGGUCAUCCGAGGGCUAUCACUCCGAAAGCAUUCAGCAGCCCAGCAUAAGUUACCUUGCGCAGGUGGCGCAUGUGGCCGAGUUCAGUGUGUGCGUGAAUGUAGUCUGUGUGCAGGUAAUCCCAGAGGGAGGUCCUCUUCCCCCCUGGUGGUGGGUCCGGUCACGUGGUGUGCAGUGAAUUGCAGUGCAGUGCAGUGUUACCUGUGUGUGAGUGCAAUAAUUCACCUUCACUUAGUGUGUGCAUGGGCACGAGUGUUUGUGUGUACUUAUCCAAGGCCUAGACAGGGGGCUUAGUAUAAUUCCCCCCUCUUGGGUGCACCUGCCCUGUAUUUGAGAACCCUCCCUUUUGUACCGAUUUGUGUGAGUGUGUAUGUGAGUGUGAGUGUGUGUGUGCAUUGUGGUGGGAAAUAUUUUAAACUGUCCGGAUUUUUAUAUUUAUAUGUGAAAUUGUUAAUAAAGAGAUUAUUUUGUUACGGAAUCCACGUUUCCUCGUUAAUGCAACAGAACUUGUGUGGGGGUCAAAUCUAAGGUUUUCAUACAGUCCCUGGGCUGUAGUUCCCAUUCUUAUCCCAGGGUGGCGUAGUCUAUUUAGUAAGAAAAACUGUGAAAUUUAGAGUUUAAAACUCUCCUGUCCUUACCA